rnacentral:rRNA from 1 species
CGUCGUCAGCUUACCCUCUGAGGGUCCAAUAGUAAGCACAAUUGGCACAGCCCAAAACGUCAGGUCGAGGUGUAGCGUAUGAGAGGGGAAGAAAUGGGCUACAUUCACCCUUUACGGUGUACUACGAAAGAUGCAAUUGAAACAUUCAUCAGAAGGAGGAUUUAGCAGUAAGCAGAAAGUAGAGCGUUCCGCUGAAACUGGCCCUGAAGCGCGCACACACCGCCCGUCACUCUCCCCGAGCUUUUAAAUUUUGCCCUAAAUAAAACCCCGCCCACCGCUAAGGGGAGGCAAGUCGUAACAUGGUAAGUGUACCGGAAGGUGCACUUGGAAAAAC